GCUUGUCUCAAAGAUUAAGCCAUGCAUGUCUAAGUAUAAACACCUUUAUACUGUGAAACUGCGUACAGCUCAUUAAAUCAGUAAUAAUUUAUUUGAUGGUGACUUACUACAUGGAUAACCGUAGUAACCUAGAGCUAAUACAUGCACAAAAUCCCGACUUCACGGAAGGGAUGUAUUUAUUAGAUGGAAACCAAUGCGGGGCAACCCGGUAUAUGGUGAUUCAUAAUAACUUUCGGAUCGAUCUUCGGAUCGAUGCAUCAUUCAAGUUUCUGCCCUAUCAGCUUUGGAUGGUAGGGUAUUGGCCUACCAUGGCUUUAACGGGUAACGGAGAAUUAGGGUUCGAUUCCGGAGAGGGAGCCUGAGAAAUGGCUACCACAUCCAAGGAAGGCAGCAGG
rnacentral:rRNA from 1 species